GCGGGCGUAGUGUAGCCUGGUAUCACGCUAGCUUGCCAAGCUAGUGACUCGGGUUCAAAUCCCGGCGCCCGCA
rnacentral:tRNA from 1 species